AACGCUAGCUACAGGCUUAACACAUGCAAGUCGAGGGGCAGCAUGGUCUUAGCUUGCUAAGGCCGAUGGCGACCGGCGCACGGGUGAGUAACACGUAUCCAACCUGCCGUCUACUCUUGGACAGCCUUCUGAAAGGAAGAUUAAUACAAGAUGGCAUCAUGAGUCCGCAUGUUCACAUGAUUAAAGGUAUUCCGGUAGACGAUGGGGAUGCGUUCCAUUAGAUAGUAGGCGGGGUAACGGCCCACCUAGUCUUCGAUGGAUAGGGGUUCUGAGAGGAAGGUCCCCCACAUUGGAACUGAGACACGGUCCAAACUCCUACGGGAGGCAGCAGUGAGGAAUAUUGGUCAAUGGGCGAGAGCCUGAACCAGCCAAGUAGCGUGAAGGAUGACUGCCCUAUGGGUUGUAAACUUCUUUUAUAAAGGAAUAAAGUCGGGUAUGCAUACCCGUUUGCAUGUACUUUAUGAAUAAGGAUCGGCUAACUCCGUGCCAGCAGCCGCGGUAAUACGGAGGAUCCGAGCGUUAUCCGGAUUUAUUGGGUUUAAAGGGAGCGUAGGCCGUCUGUUAAGCGUGUUGUGAAAUGUAGAUGCUCAACAUCUGAAUUGCAGCGCGAACUGGCAGACUUGAGUGUGCGCAACGUAGGCGGAAUUCGUGGUGUAGCGGUGAAAUGCUUAGAUAUCACGAAGAACUCCGAUUG
rnacentral:rRNA from 1 species